rnacentral:rRNA from 1 species
UACGUAGGCAGCGAGCGUUGUUCGGAGUUACUGGGCGUAAAGGGCGUGUAGGCGGUUCUUUAAGUUUGGUGUGAAAUCUCCCGGCUCAACCGGGAGGGUGCGCCGAAUACUGAGGGACUAGAGUGCGGGAGAGGAAAGUGGAAUUCCUGGUGUAGCAGUGAAAUGCGUAGAUAUCAGGAGGAACACCGGUGGUGUAGACGGCUUUCUGGACCGUAACUGACGCUGAGACACGAAAGCGUGGGUAGCAAACAGG